GCAUACUUAAGCUCUGGGUCCUCUUGCGUCCGUGGUGCAGUUACGUUUGUUCAACAGUGUCUCCCUGUCACAAACCUGAUCCUUCCUGUAACGGAACCGGGUUGAGUUUUGCUGCUGGCUCUGUGUAGCUGUACUAUCGGCACUAUUGGUGUAUUGGUGCGAAGCUCCCUGACGGGGUUGUAAACCGCUUCGCUUGCGCUGGUAUCUGCACUAGCCCCUCCCUUCCCUGCCACCUGCUGUUUUGUCUCAACCGACUUCUGUUUCAACCACUGUCAACAGGUUGUAGCUACACAAGCUGUGUCCGACGUGUCCGACAGGGCUGUAUUUGAGUGAUCAUUACACGGAUGAUAGCUUUGCCUUUCUUUGGCUUGCCCGUGCUUACUAAUGUGUAUGGAGACUGGGGUUUAGGUUUAUGGGUUUAUUUGUUAAAUUAUGAUUAAGUGAUUUUUGGUUAAUUUAUAUUUCUUUUGUUUAAGUUCUGAUAAAAGACUUUCAUUUCUGUUGAAACUUUAUGAUUUAUCUGUUAAUCUUGGUUAUUUUUGUUUGUCUCUAGGCAGCUAGGAUUAACUGAUUUUUGGUUCAUUUCUAUUUCUGUUUAAGUUUUGGUAAAGACUCAUUUUUGUUGAAACCUUUAUGGUUUAUUUGUUAAUUUUGGUUAUUUGUUAGGCUCUAGGCAGCUAUUAAGGCACCUUUGCUGCCUAGAUUUGCCUGAGAUUGAAUUUGUUUCUCAUUUAUUUUUGGUUUGAGUCAUUCCCCCCCCAAUAACUGAAUGUUCUUCUCCCAUAGAUGCUGAGUGCCGAAGGUGGUAGUGUCUGUGUCCCCGGUGGUGGUGUCUCCCUCCUGUGUGCUGCGUUUUCCCCCUUUGGUUUAUUUUGAGUUUUUCACCACUGUGUGUGUGUGCUCACGUGUGAUUGGGGUGAUCCUUCCCUGAGAACCCACACCCCUUGACCCUGUCCCUCCAUCGGUAAGGCCUCAGCACUUAUUUCCCAUAUUUAGUGUCUGGUAUUUUAAAUAGUAUUUUAUAUUUGAUGUUUUAGUAAUUGUAUUAAUAAAACCAUUGUUUUUA